CACGGGGGGAGCAAGCGUUGUUCGGAAUCACUGGGCGUAAAGGGCGUGUAGGCGGUCAGGUAAGUCAGACGUGAAAUCCCUCGGCUCAACCGGGGAACUGCGUCUGAUACUGGGUGGCUUGAAUCCGGGAGAGGGAUGCGGAAUUCCAGGUGUAGCGGUGAAAUGCGUAGAUAUCUGGAGGAACACCGGUGGCGAAGGCGGCAUCCUGGACCGGCAUUGACGCUGAGGCGCGAAAGCCAGGGGAGCAAAGCGGG
rnacentral:rRNA from 1 species